UUGUGACUGAGGAUUGAACCAAAUCCCAUUCGGUAAGACAAUACAAUACAUAAAGAUGACAUUCAUUCUUGGUCCAUAUUUAUUCGGUAAGAUUGAGGGUUGAAUACCCAUAUCAGGAACACAAAAGGCAUCGCAACUUACAAAAUACCCAGAUCCGCUAUUGAUCAUCUAUUUCUUCUUCUCCUCCAGUUCUGCCAUUCACUCAUCCUUUCUCACCCUCGUUGAGAAACUUCUCUUUCCUCUCCAUGAGCAUCCUAUAUCCUCCUUCAUUUUCUCCCUCCUUCACACACCGUAACCGCUCCGACGAAUCUGCAAUCAUCCUCCUCCGGUGGUUCGAUGAACAGUGAACACGAAUUUCGAUUUUGUUUGGAAGCUACAGUAAUUAUUUCAGCAAGUUUUGUGGGAUCCGAAAUCAUUGGAUCAAUUUCAAUAAAUCCAAAAUUGAUUGCACAAAAGAAAAAGUAAAUGGAAACCAAAGAAGGAAGGGUAGUCAAUGACAAUAACAUGGUGACUAAAGAAGAUGGGUUUGAGAAAUGGGGUUGUUGUGCUGGGGAAGGAGAUGGGUUUAUGGUGAAGCAGAACACAGAUGACGAAGAAGGGAAAGCGUGACAAUGAGGGAAGAAGAUAGGAGGGCAAAAUUGUCAUUUCACUUGUGUAUGUGUUAAUCAAGGGCAAAAAAGUCAUUUGAUAUCUGUUUGGCUGAUGUGGCUUGAGUAAUACCCAGUCACCACUUGCCACUUAGACGCCAUGUAUCUAAUCAUCCUCCACCUCAUCAAAAAAACGUAAUUAGGAUGAAAUUUCAAAUGAUUAACAAUUGCAAGGGCAAAAUGGGAGAAUUAGCAAGUUCAAGGAUGAAAUUUCAAAUGGCCUAUAUUUGCAGGGAUGAAAUGCAUAUUUUAGCCUUUAGGUUAAGUGCAUUUUUUAUACCUUCAUUUUUAAAAAGUUUUAAUUUUGGUCUCUAACAAAAAAACAAUUUUGACCCCAUUCGUUCUAAAAUUGUUGAGAAGAUGUCACGUGUCUAAAAAAUGGGUUAUAAUCACAACUUUUUGUAAAGAUAAG
rnacentral:lncRNA from 1 species